rnacentral:lncRNA from 1 species
GCAAAAUGAAUUUGUCUCCGAUGAAGUUGAGGCAUAUUUUCACUGGGACUAACAGAGAAGUCAUCAUGAUUCCACACACAGUAUUCCCUUGACUGGUAACAGAGUUGGAAACUGAAGGAGUUCACAACUGAGAAGGAAGAAGAAAGACACCAAAUAACACCAAACCAGAUGUGCUCUGAGAAGUGCUAGUCUACAGAAACAGCAGAAGAGGGGUGAAAGCCAAGUGGGGCAUCUGAAAAACCUUGUGGGACAGUUGAGAUAUGAGAUUUAGGAUGUUGUGGCUAGAAAUAUGGGAACAGGGCAUACAGAGGAGAAGCAGAUGAGUGAUGCCAGCCAAACUAUGUGCGGUCUAGGGAGAAGGAAGAGGUCAGCUGGACCCUGAGAAGCUGGAGCAUGGAUUGUGGCAUUGUCAAUUGGGUCAAAGAGAUAACCUAGGAAUAGAGUGGAGAAACUCAUGUCCUUAUCUAAUGAAGCUGUAUUUUUCCCAAAUACCAGAAAAGAAUGAAACAUAAAAGCAUGUGAUUCCUUCUAAUCAUCUAACUCUUUCCUGAAAGCGAGGAAUAGCUAAACAAAAGCAAUAACAAUAACAAGAACAAUAUAGUCCUUCCUUCACGGAUUCCACACACAUUUUCAGUGGAAAAACUGAUUCCUAGUAAGUGAUGCAAUGGACCAAGAGUCAGUAGAACCAAGGUCUAGCUGUGGUAACUUAAAUUGUUCACAACAUAACUUUGGGUCAAUCUGGGUAACAGUUUCCUUAGCAAUAAUGCCAGUCAGCUGGAUUUGCAGAAAGAGCCUGCUGAAUCCCACCAUUUCUAUGGCGUUGUCUCAGAGAAGGUCCCAGAGGAAAGAGCCCCUGCCUGGAACCUGAUGGUCCUGUGACAGAGAGAAAAAAUUGAUGGCAAAACUAUACAAUGGCUCUGUGAGCUUCUACAUACAUUUCAUUGUAAACAAAACAAAUGGCCAAGCAAAACAAAUGGCCAAGCCUGGCGUUAAUGGAGUAGGAGGUCUAAUUCCUAGAUCUCCAAAACAUAUCAGCAAGUAUUUUGAACAAAGAAUACAAUCUACCACACCAUCAUUAAAGGUACACCAAAA